ACCGGGGCCGGUUUGGGCUGAAAGGCGCCGGAAUCGGGGCCGCAGAGAGGCCGGAGAUGCUGCGAUGGAGGCGGGAGAAGGGCUGAACCCCACGGAGGGGCCCCACAGGCCCCACACAGGUGCCACGUUUUCACCCCAAGUGGCCGCUGAGCCCCGGGACUUCCUCACCCCACUGGGCUUGCUGGGUGGCAGGCGGCUGCCUGGGCCACCACACCCCAAGCCCUUUCGCUGCGGGGAAUGUGGGAAGAGCUUCAGGCAGAGCUCCAACCUCCUGGAGCACCUCCGGACCCACAGCGGUGAGCGGCCCUACACGUGUGGGGCGUGCGGGAAGAGCUUCGGCCGUAGCUCCACGUUGACCGAGCACCUCCGGACCCAUAGCGGGGAGCGGCCCUACAAGUGUGGGGCAUGUGGGAAGAGCUUCACCCGCAGCUCCACCUUGACCGAGCACCUCCGGAUCCACAGCGGCGAGACCCCUUAUUCCUGCCCUGAAUGCGGGAGGAGUUUUGGGAGGACCUCAAACUUGGCCAAACACCUCCGGACCCACAGUGGGGAGAAGCCCUACGGCUGCCCCGAAUGCGGGAAGAGCUUCAGCCUCAGCUCCAACCUGCUCAAACACCUCCGGACCCACAGUGGGGAGAGGCCCUACAAGUGUGGGGUGUGUGGGAAAUGCUUCAAGAAGAAAACCCACUUGAGUUCUCACCUCCGGAUUCAUAGCGGGGAGCGACCCUACAAGUGCGGGGACUGUGGCAAGAGUUUUGGGCAGAGCUCUACCCUCUUAGAACAUCAACGCACUCAUAGUGGGGAGCGGCCCUACAAGUGUGGGGCGUGCGGGAAGAGGUUUGGAGUCAGCUCCAACCUGGCCAAGCAUCGCCGGACCCACAGCACCGAAAUGCCCUAUAGCUGCGGGAGAUGUGGAGAGAAAUUCCGUUACCGGCCCCAGCUCGCCCGGCACAUGAGGGGACACCCUGACGGGGACUCAUAGUGGGGGAAUGUCGCCAUGGAGUGCGAGGUUAGGGGAGCACGUCGUAGACUCACACAAUCGCUUCAGUUUGAAAAGACCUUUAAGCUCCUUGAGUCCAACUCCUCACCUCACACGGCCACCCACAUCCCUCAGCACCUCAGCUACACGGCUUUGCAGUAUCUCCAGGGAUGGGACUCCACUACCUCCUGGGCAGUCUGGGACAGGGGCUGACAACCCUCUCACUGAAAAAGUUCUCUCCAAUUUCCAAUCUAAACCCCCUCUGGAGCAGCUGGAGCCUAUUUCCUCUUGUCCUGUCAUUUGUUACUGGGGAGAAGAGACAGACCCUCAAAGCUUCCUGUCAGGCUGUUGCAGACGGUCUCCCCUCAGCCUCCUCCAGGCUGAACACCCCCAGCUCUCUUGGCCACUCCACAUCAGGCUUGUGCUCCAGACCCUUCACCAGCUCUGGUGCCCAUCUCUGGACAUGCUCCAGCACCUCAGUGUCGCUCCUAAAGUGAGGGGCCCAACACUGAACAGUGCCCAGUAUAGGGGGCAAUCACUGCCCGUGUCCUGCUACCAUACUUUCCUAAUGCAUGCCAGGAUGCCAUUGACAUCUUGGCCACCUGGGCACACUGCUGGCUCAUGUUCAGCUGAUUAACACCCCCAGGUCCUUUUCUGCUGGACAGCUUUCCAGCCACUCUGCCCCAGGCCUGUAGCAUUGCCUGGGGUUGUGGCCCAAGUGCAGGACCUGGUCAUUGGCCUUGUUGAACCUCAUAGAACUGGCCUCAGCCCGUUGGUUCAGCCUGGCCAGGUCCGUCUGAAGAGCCUUCCUGCCCUCAAGCAGGUCUAUGCACCCGCCCAACUUGGUGGCAUCAGCAAAUUUACUGAGACUGCACUCCAUUUCCUCAUCCAGAUCAUUGAUAAAGACAUUAAAGAGAACAGGCCCCAAUACUGAGCCCUGGGGAACACCACUGAUGACCUGCCAACAACUGGAUUUAACUCCAUUCACCACCACUCUAUGGGCCCAGCCAUCCAGCCAGUUUUCCACCCAGUGAAGUUUUCUUCCAUCCAAGCUAUGGACAUCCAGUUUCUCCAGGAGGAUGGUGUGGGAGACGAUGUCAAAGACUUUGCUAAAGUCUAGGCAGAUGCAUGCACAGCCUUUCCCUCAUCCACUAAGUGGGUCUUCUUGUCAUAGGAGGUCAGGUUAGUCAAGCAGGACCUGCCCUUCAUAAAGCCAUGAAGCUGACUGGGCCUGAGCACCUGGUUGUCCCGUACAUGCUGUGUGAUGGUGCUUGGGAUGAUGUGUUCCAUAAUCUUCCCCAGCACUGAGGUCAGGCUGACAGGCCUGUAGUUCCUGUCACAUUGGCCAACCUCCAGUCUCCUGGGACCUCCCCUGUGAGCCAGGGCUGCUGGUAGAUGAGGGAGAGUGGCUGGGGGAGCACUUCCACCAGCUCCCUCAGCACCCUUGGGUGGAUCCCAUCCAGCCCCAUUGACUUGUGCGUGUCGAGGUGGAGCAGCAGAUCACACACCAUUUCCCUUUGGAUUUGGGGGCUUCAUUUUGCUCACCAUGCCUGUCACCAUGGGGCUGGAUACCUGGAGAUCGAGUGGUCUUGCUAUCAAACACUGAAGCAAAAACAGCAUUAAGUACCUCAGCCUCUUCCUCAUCCUUGGUCACUAUGUUUCCCUCCGUGCCCAUAAAGGGUGGAGAUUCUCCUUAGCCCUCCUUUUGUUGCUAAUGUAUUUGUAGAAGCAAUUUCUAUUGCUUUUAUAACAGUGCUUUUUUUUUUCCUAUUGUUUUUAUAACAGUGGCCAACUAUAACAAGUUUUAAUUGGGCUUUGGCCCUUCUAACUUGCUGCCUGAAUAGCCUCACAACAUCCUCGUAGUCUUCAAGAGUUGUCUGUCCCUUCUUCCAGAGGUCAUAAGCUGUCUUUGUUUUCCUGAUGUCCAGCAGAAGGUCUGAGUUCAGCCAGGACAGUGUGCUGUGGGUGGCUGCUCUGCCUGGAGAGCCACACAGUGUUGGGCUGUGUGACCGAGCGCAGCGACUGCAGCAUGUGAGGUCCUUGCAGGUGUCUGCGUGUCUCCUUGUUCCGAGACAGUGGGGAAACUGAUACUCUGUGUUUACUGGGCCCCCAAAGGUCACGGGGAGAUGGAGCAGGGCGCCUGUUCCAAUUGCUGCAUGCCCACCCUCAUCCUUCUGUGGAAAUUGGCUCCAAGUGCCUCUCUGAUGGAGGAGGAUGGCGAAGCUCCAGCUGUCUCAGGGUCAGACCGACAGGUUGAGAAGGGAAAAGAAGUUCCUGCUGAUUCUCCUUCGAAGCACAUGUCUGACAGAUCCCUCGGGUUUGAAGGCUUCCUUGGGCCGCCUGGGAGCAUGCGAUCAUCUGUGGUUCUUUUUCCCUGCUCCCAAUGCUUUGUCUGAGGACAAGCAGCCCUCCACCCUUCCCCCGUCUAAGGGGAAGGCUAAAACUCUGUUGUGCUUUGGAUCCCUCACAAAAUCAUCGCUGAGGUGCCUCCUGGCCUCCUCCUGCAGCAUGUUGGGGUGGAGUGGGCCAUGAAGCAGCAGCCUCGUCCCUCUCACGUGGCUCAGCCCCCUCCGCAGGGCAGCACACCUGCAUCUUGGGUGGCACUGGUCACCAGUGGGCAGUAGCAAAUAGGUAUGAGUGGGAAAGAUUUCAAGAGAAUAUCGAUAAAAACAGGGGAGCACUGAAAGAUAAGAAGGGAAAAGGUGUCACUUGUGUUAGCACUAUGUUGAAAGGCAACAUAAUAAAAAUAAUCAGUUAGAAAGUGAGACCAAAGAAGGAAAGGCAGAAACAUUGGUUUUAAUGUCCCAAAAUCAACAAUGGGUACAACAGUUGAAAGGUGUUAAGGAGAAGUCUAAAAAAAUUGGAAGAGAAACUAGAAUUUGUCUUACUAAAAGAAAACCUAAACAUUGAUAUUACCACCUGAGGAUUGGGAUGGUGACGUUUGGGACAGUCCUGAUGAAAAUGAGGAUGACAGGAAACAGGUCCCCAAUGAGAUGUUUGAGCCUUCAGCUGAUUCAAAAGGGGAGAUUUCUGAUUUUAAAAUGAGACCCUUAAUGAAGAUUGAAGUGGCCAAAGGACCCCAAGGAGGUCAGAAAAGGAACAUGGUCAGAACUACUCCCUGGGAUCCUCACCAGUUGGCAAAUUUACAGUGAAAAGAUGAGUGAAACCCAGGAGAAUCUGAAACCAAAUGAGGGUCUCUCAGGAGGUGAUCAAAUGUUGCCGGACAGUAGCGAGGCAGAUGGAUACUGGGGACCUGGGGUAUUGUUAAAUCUAGGACCUAUUUGUCUGCCCUCGUUUGGUAACAAGCAGAGUUGUGUAUUGGGCAGGAGAAUGCGAUGCUAUGUAAAGGGGAGAUCCAGCAUCCAUGCCCAUGUGGUCACUUAAUGGAUUAUCCAGUGCUGUCACAAAAGCAGCUGCUCAAGGGAAAUGCAGAGAUGACUGGAUAGAGACAUUCCAGUCUCCACUGAAACAGAUCCCAACCUGUUAAAACCUCUGUUGCAGGGAUUGGGGAGGGGGAUGGGCAGCAACACCAACAAGUAUUUGUUGAGCUGCUGAGGUGAAAUCAGAGAGGAUGUGUCUCAUAAGGAAGCACUACCAGACCCUCAGGCCCUGAGGCACCCAUCCCCACCUGGGGAGAAUUCCUGCAUGACACAGUAAAUCGUGCAAGAGAAAUGGGUUGGGAAGCA